UGUGUACCAUGCGAAACACACACAGUCCCAAACACAGAUAAUACAGAGACGUCAAAGAGAGUUUCACAUAUUUUAAAGAGAGAAGAGAGAUACGGUGGAAGGACCACCAUUCCAUUUCUGGUGGUGAACCCGGCUGCGCACGGCAGCGCCUCCCACUUCCGACGCAUAAACGACCGCCAUGGCGGCGGUGAGUUGUAGAGUUGUACUUCAGGUGAAGUCCGACCAGUCUCCGACAAAGAUCCGGCGAAUGAGUCUCUGGAGAUGGUGGAGUGGCAGCGGUAGACGACGCCGAACCGGCCUCUGCUCGGGUUUAUCAACGUUCAUUUUCUGUACUUAGCAUAUACUUUGGUUGCUAAAGUUAUAAAGGCAUGGAUAUCACCUCACUAGAAAAGUGUUACGAGCGUGUACCAGGAGUUCCAUGUGUAUGUGUGUGUCGAUCUGUUAGACCCGAUAGAAGAUAAAUGGGAUUUCUUCGUAUUGUAGGCAGUGGCGGAUCUUGCCCGUUGAACAUGCCAGGGCCGAAAGACACGGGCACUAAAAAAAGCCUGGACAAGCCCGGGCCAAACAUAGUAUAUAUAAAAGAUUUCGAUCGAAAUGCGGAAAAUUAGCACUACGGCCGAAAAACUUGCCCGGGCCGUGGCCCUGCCACGGCUCUUCUAAGAACCGCCCCUGAUUGUAGAAUGAUUCAGAAUUUGAUUGUCAUUUUUUCUGUAGAAUAAAGUUGCAACAAUCCAUGUGGAGCCUCAAAGAGCAGUGCAAUUUUUGGUUCAACUUAAGAGGGUUAGUUCUAUUAUUAUUCAAGCAAUCAUGCAUCAUAAAUAAUAUCCUCCAAAUGAUUUAAAUAUAA